GCUCCCAUCGUCUACCCCGGUUAAGGACACGACCCUCUCACGGUCGGAAGGCGCGUUCAAAUCGCGCUGGGAGCA
rnacentral:tRNA from 1 species